rnacentral:ncRNA from 1 species
GGUAGUAGCAAAUAUUCAAAUGGGAACUUUAAAAGUCGAAGUGGAGAAGGAUUUUCAUGUGAACAGCAGUUGAAAAAAUGGGUCAGUCGACCCUAAGGAAAAGGCGAAGGCCGUUCUGAAGCGGGCGAUGUUAGCGUUGCCCCGGCCGACCGAAAGGGAGUUAGGUUAAUAUUCCCGAACCCCCAGGCUCAACUGUUGACACAUUCUUAUUAAAACAUUGCUUACCUGUUUCUGUCGAUUCGGUUUUGCUCGAGUAAUCUCCAUUCUUCUUCGUUGAUAAAUGGGAAAAGAUCCCGAUAACGUUCGUUGUUUAUGUAAGUUGGUUCCUGCAAAAAAAUCAAUGUCGGACA